GACGAACCGUGCAAACGUUGUUCGGAAUCACUGGGCUUAAAGGGCGCGUAGGCGGGCCAGCCAGUCUGUGGUGAAAGCCUCCAGCUUAACUGGAGAAGUGCCGUGGAUACUGCUGGCCUCGAGUAGGGUAGGGGCAUCUGGAACGGUCGGUGGAGCGGUGAAAUGCGUUGAUAUCGACCGGAACUCCGGUGGCGAAGGCGAGGUGCUGGGCCCUUUCUGACGCUGAUGCGCGAAAGCCAGGGGAGCAAACGGG
rnacentral:rRNA from 1 species